rnacentral:rRNA from 1 species
CCUACGGGUGGCAGCAGUGGGGAAUAUUGCACAAUGGGGGAAACCCUGAUGCAGCGACGCCGCGUGAGCGACGAAGUAUUUCGGUAUGUAAAGCUCUAUCAGCAGGGAAGAAGAUGACGGUACCUGACUAAGAAGCCCCGGCUAAAGACGUGCCAGCAGCCGCGGGAAUACGUAGGGGGCAAGCGUUAUCCGGAUUUACUGGGUGUUAAGGGAGCGUAGACGGAGAUGAAAGCCAGAUGUGAAAGGCCGGGGCUCAACCCCGGGACUGCAUUUGAAACUGGGUGGCGGGAGUGUCGGAGAGGCAGGCGGAAUUCGUAGUGUAGCGGUGAAAUGCGUAGAUAUUAGGAGGAACACCAGUGGCGAAGGCGGCAUGCUGGACGAUGACUGACGUUGAGGCUCGAAAGCGUGGGGAGCAAACAGGAUUAGAUACCCCAGUAGUC